rnacentral:lncRNA from 1 species
CUCAGUGCAUAUGAUAUGUCGGAUGACAAAGUAUUUCUCGAAAAGGCGAAGGAUAUUGCUGAUCGAUUGUUACCUGCCUGGGAUACAACAUCUGGUAUCCCUUAUAAUUCAAUCAACUUAGCUCAUGGCCGAGCUCAUAAUUUUGGAUGGACCAACGUGAGUAACUGAUGCUCUAUUUUCCAUUAGGGACAUUUACAUUUGUGCCCCUAACUCGAACCCACUACUCAGAUUUGCCCCUAAUUUCGAAGGAUGCUCAAAUUUGCCCCUCUACCGUUAGGUGCACUUAGAAAUGCCCUUCUGUGCCGUUACCGUCUGGUCAAAGGACUUUGACUGUUAACUGGACAUUUUGCCCCUGACUCCAUGUGUCACUUACAGGUGGGACCCACUCGACAAAAAUAAAUGGGAAAAACUCUUUCUCUCACCACCUCUCUCUCACACACUUACAUGUGGGGCCAAACAAAAAAAGAAAAAGAAAAAGAAGACUCUCUCACACAAUCCCCCCCUCUCUCUCCCUGACCCGUGGGCCACUUGAGUCUUGUGUGGCACGGCCGAUGAUGGCCAUCGCCGGUGAGGGGCGGCACACCUGCGGUUGAGCACCAAGGUGGCGGAGGCAAUAGUAGUCGCUACCGCGGCAGCACUGUGAAUCAGGUGGUCCAUCGAGGGGUGGCGCACGUGCUAGCUCUGUUGUUCUCUCAAAAAACAAGAAUGUCCACAGCUCGCCGCCGGCGUAGUUCAUCAUUUUCGCAGCAAGAGUCGAUCCCAAGCUUAGAAAGCAUGCCCAUUACCUUCUUAUAUCCCUAUAGAGCCUCCCGUAUGGAGGAAAUCGAUGGGAGUGUCGUAAAUCAUUGGAUCGGCCUUCAUCUUCUCCGCCUCCGAUGUCGCGCCGCCGCGCCUCGAUCUCCUCGUCUAGGCCACCCCGAUGCUCUCUGUCCGCUUCCUAGUCAAAUAUUGAUGCUUCUAUGCCUGCUAGAUCCCUCGCCCCGAGUCGUCGCCCCGCGAACAGCCGCACCCCCGCCUAGCGCCGCCGCUCGCCGCCGCAAGCAGUUAACGUGGCCUGGGUCAUUGAACGCCGUGCAGCUUGCUGCUGUGAUUCCUGACCACGCCGGCAUGCUCGCACCUCACACUCCCCCUCCUAGCGUGUUCCUGAGCCAUCUAGUAGUACGCCGGCGUGCUCACACACUCGCCGGAGUACAAUAUGUGACUGACCGGUAGGUCCGGGCUUGAUAAUUAGAUUAGGCUUAAUCCUAUUAGUUCUUAUUGACGUAUUUCAGACACUGACCAGUGGUCCCCCCAUUCUAAUAAUCCAAUGAAUAACGUUUCAAAAAAUAAUAAAACAAUGACAGGUGGGCCUAUGCCUAGAAUUUUUAAGAUAUAUUUUUUCUUUUUCUUUUUUUGUUGGGUCCCACAUGUAAGUGUGUGAGAGAAGGAGUGAGAGAAAGUGUUUUUUCCAUUUAUUUUUUUAUAGUGUGGGACCCACCUGUAAGUGACACAUGGAGUCAGGGGCAAAAUGUCCAGCGAAUGUCCAGUUAACGGUCAAAGCCCUUUGACCGGACGGUAACGGCACGGAGGGGCAUUUCUAUAAGUGCACCUAACGGCAGAGGGGCAAAUUUGAGCAUGCUUCGAAAUUAGGGGCAAAUCUGAGUAGUGGGUUCGAGUCAGGGGCACAAAUGUAAAUGUCCCUUUCCAUUAAGUACCUACUGCCGCUGCAAGUUCCUUCGAAACAUGAAUAUUACAAUCAUGUUUAUUUACCAGCAUACCAGUAAGCUUCAAUUUUAUACCAAGGCCUAGAAAUCCAUCUCAAGCUUCAAUGCACAAAUACACAAGUCAUUAACAUGCUACUGAGCGUUGAUCUCUGUGGUGCAACUUACCAUUGAGAAUCACUAUCAAAUAUUGUCUUUUUUUAUGAUAGAUUUCACCUGAACCUAUUUUGUUUUCUGUAAUGGACAAUGAAUCAUAUGCUUUAUUAUUUCUGCAGGGUGAUAGUAUCCUUGCGGAUUCUGGAACAGAGCAACUUGAAUUUAUAGCUUUGUCCCAAAGAACCGGAGAUCCUAAGUAUCAGCUGAAGGUUAGUAUUUCAUUCAUCGUAUCAAUUUUAUGUAAUUUGCUGGGACAAUUCUUGUUACCAAGUGUUGUAGCUAGUUUUGUGCAAAACAUAGCUACCAGCCACAAGCAAGAGUGGGAAGUUUUCUUGUUGGAUUCGUAGUGCCAAUCUACUGCUAUUUUUUGCUAGUAAAAUUCCCAUGUAUGUCUGGCAUGUUUAUACAUUCAAAUCCAUCCUAUAUGUCUUCUUUUUUUGCCCCUUUUUUUCAGUAUUGAUCUCUCAUGUUUGUUGCCAAAAUAUGAUUCUAGGCAGAAAAUGUCAUCCGACAGCUUCAGAAGAUAUAUCCAAGUGAUGGCUUACUUCCUAUCUACAUAAAUCCUCAAUCAGGGCAAGCAUCAUACUCAACAAUAACAUUCGGUGCUAUGGGAGAUAGGUAAUGCUAUUUGUCCUACUAUUUGAACCAAGUUAUAUUCUUCCUCAAAUAGUGGUGCUCUAUUUUUGCUAUUCAACUAUGUAAUAUUUUGUGCAAAUUGUUAAGCAAGUUUUAUCUAUCUUAUUGGACCAAGGAUAAUUUUUUAUCACAUAUUCGGUUGAUAUGACUCCAAAAGACAAAAAGAACUCAUAUUUGUAUGCGCGUUUCAGCUUCUACGAGUACUUGCUCAAGGUCUGGAUUCAGGGGAAUAAAACCGAGAGCGUAAAACAUUACAGGUGCAGGCCUGAUUUCACAAUUCAUCAUAUUCCUUUUCAUCAUUUUUUAGUGAAAAGUCCAUUUAUUCUGCUUUGUAACGUGAUUAACAUUUCCAUAUGCGGUGCUUAACUCAGACAAAUGUGGGAGACAUCAAUGGAAGGUUUAAUAAGCUUGACCAGGCAAACUACACCCUCUAAUUACACAUAUAUCUGCGAGAAAAGUGGUGGCUCCUUGUCUCACAAGGUAAAGAAUCUCCAUUCUGCUGAUUGUCAGCAGGAUGCUUUCUAAAGCUUAUCUGUCAUUGUCUCUCUAAAGUUCUGACUGGUUCAGCUUGUGACCGACACAGAUGGAUGAACUUGCAUGCUUCGCCCCUGGCAUGCUGGCACUUGGAGCCUCUGGUUAUGGGCCUGAAAAAGCUAAACAAAUUAUGAAUCUGGCAGAAGAGGUAAAUCCUCUUAAGGAAUCUCAUUUCCGUAUCCAAUAUUUCUAAUUAUUGCAUAUGGUUUUGUUCUAUUUGUCCAUCUGAUUUCCUUUUCCUAUUCUCUUUAUAGCUUGCUCGGACCUGUUAUAACUUCUACCAAACAACUCCCACAAAGUUGGCUGGAGAGAAUUAUUAUUUCCACGCUGAACAGGUAGUGCGCGGGCCCUUAUCUUCUUUCUAGCAAUCCAGUACCAUGGCAUCAACUCUUUUAUUAAAAACAAUGUCAUCAACUAAUGGUACUUUCCAACUCCAUAGGAUAUGAACGUGGGCACGUCAUGGAAUAUCCUGAGACCAGAGACUGUGGAAUCACUUAUGUACCUGUGGCGCCUUACAGGGAACAAAACAUACCAAGAUUGGGGAUGGGACAUAUUCCAGGCAUUUGAGAAGAACUCCCGCAUAGCAUCUGGAUAUGUAGGACUAAGAGAUGUGAGUUUUUAGUGGCACCUUCCAUCCUCGAAUUUCCCCACUGAAAACACCUGCCUUACACUACACAAAACUUACUGCAAUGUUUCGAUCUCAGGUGAAUAGUGGUGAAAAGGAUGACAAGAUGCAGACCUUCUUCCUAGCAGAGACGCUGAAGUACCUCUAUCUACUGUUCUCCCCUCCGUCAGUCGUAUCUUUCGACGAGUGGGUCUUCAACACUGAAGCUCACCCUUUGAGAAUCGUUCCGACACAUGGUAGCAACGGCCAGUCAAUUGAAACUGCAAGGCCAGUGGUCCGACCGUUCGGUAGGAAGCAAGGGAAACAGGGGUAGGCCUGAACAACAGAGCAGAGGAUUUUUGCAUCCGCCAUGUGAUUGUGACCUGCCUUGUUGAGAACGUUACGUUACGAUGGGAAUUUCUUCCUGCAGCGGCAAGGGUUGCAAAUCACGGCACUAGGCUAUUUAGGCAACACAAUUGUAGGUAGAGCAUGAUGGAUAAUCUGGGGCAUGCUGAACCUUCAGGGUAUAAUCGAAGAUCAGCAUCCCCAUGAAAGUUUUCAUCUUCGAACUUGCCAACGCUCUGCGGGUUAUUGAUUUGCAACACAUAUGUAACUUAGUGUCCAUAGGUUGUUGCUUUCAUGGGGCUCUCCUGGAGUUGUAUCCUUGUUGUUUUGAUUAUAUGAUAUAUAAAAAGGGUUGUGUUUCCUUUCAGUAUCUACAUUUUGUUAGGGCUUUUGGAGAACUUACUACAUUUAAGAGAAAAGGGUAUGUGGGCCUGUAUUUGCAGACUGUUUUCUGUGCUACUUGGUGAGAAUAUAUAUUCAUGGUACAUA